AACGAACGCUGGCGGCAGGCCUAACACAUGCAAGUCGAGCGGACCUUUCGGGGUCAGCGGCGGACAGGUGAGUAACGCGUGGGAAUAUGCCCUUCUCUACGGAAUAGUCCUGGGAAACUGGGGGUAAUACCGUAUACGCCCUUUGGGGGAAAGAUUUAUCGGGGAAGGAUUAGCCCGCGUUGGAUUAGGUAGUUGGUGGGGUAAUGGCCUACCAAGCCGACGAUCCAUAGCUGGUUUGAGAGGAUGAUCAGCCACACUGGGACCGAGACACGGCCCAGACUCCUACGGGAGGCAGCAGUGGGGAAUCUUAGACAAUGGGGGCAACCCUGAUCUAGCCAUGCCGCGUGAGUGAUGAAGGCCUUAGGGUUGUAAAGCUCUUUCAGCUGGGAAGAUAAUGACGGUACCAGCAGAAGAAGCCCCGGCUAACUCCGUG
rnacentral:rRNA from 1 species